UACGAAGGGGGCUAGCGUUGCUCGGAAUCACUGGGCGUAAAGGGUGCGUAGGCGGGUCUUUAAGUCAGGGGUGAAAUCCUGGAGCUCAACUCCAGAACUGCCUUUGAUACUGAAGAUCUUGAGUUCGGGAGAGGUGAGUGGAACUGCGAGUGUAGAGGUGAAAUUCGUAGAUAUUCGUCAAGAACACCAGUGGCGAAGGCGGCUCACUGGCCCGAUACUGACGCUGAGGCACGAAAGCGUGGGGAGCAAACAGGG
rnacentral:rRNA from 1 species